GCGGAUGUAGCUCAGUUGGUAGAGCGCAACCUUCCCAAGGUUGAUGUCGCGAGUUCGAGCCUCGUCAUCCGCUCCA
rnacentral:tRNA from 1 species